rnacentral:rRNA from 1 species
UACGUAGGGUGCGAGCGUUGUCCGGAAUUAUUGGGCGUAAAGAGCUCGUAGGCGGUGUGUCACGUCGAUCGUGAAAACUUACAGCUUAACUGUGAGCGUGCGGUCGAUACGGGCAUGACUGGAGUUCGGCAGGGGAGACUGGAAUUCCUGGUGUAGCGGUGAAAUGCGCAGAUAUCAGGAGGAACACCGGUGGCGAAGGCGGGUCUCUGGGCCGAUACUGACGCUGAGGAGCGAAAGCGUGGGGAGCGAACAGG